CUCUUCUCCUCAUCCCAACUGACCCUCUCUCUCUUCUCCCCAUCCCAAACCCCUCCGUCCUUCCCUGGCUUCCUCCAUCCUCUCUUCUGCUUCCUCUGAUUGAAGCUCACUGGAGGGCAGGGACGUCGCUGCUGGUGGCGUCGGCGGCCGCACCAAAGCCGCCGCGCGCACCCCCACCCCCCCUCCCUCUGCAUUUUGCUAGCAACACCCGACGCACCCAUCUAGGGUUUUGUGGGCCCACACCACCGGGCGCCACUCCGCAGCGAGGGUCAGCCAAACCCCGACGCCCCCAGGUACGGCGCUACUCCCAGGUGCCGGCGCUGCCUCCAGUUAAGGCCUCUGGAACCCAACCUGUAAAGGCAAUUUGUUGGAUCUGCACAUCACCAGACCAAAGAUUCCAGAUUUGCAAUCCUUUAGUCAAUUAGCUGAUUACACACAAGGAAGAGGCUUGAAUUAUCCUUGUGGUUGAAGUUUUUCAGUACCCGGGUCGAUGUAUUAGCCCAAGAGGUACCCGUGAGCUCUCAAGCGAAGAGUACAAGGCUGCUCUCUUGUACAUAUUCACUAACAUACCUGAGAUGGAUGAUUUCUUUGAAUGGUGAGUAGCUUUCGACACAGCAAUGUUCAGUCAAAAAGGAACACUUCCCAUACGAACUCAUGUGAUGGUGCCUCCCAAAGGACAACAGCUGCUGGUAAUCCCUCCCAAAGGAUUAAAGAUUCAGGACCUAUGAGUUCUAUACAUGGAGAUAAGCAAAGAGGGAGGAAGCAGGGGUGCCUAACAAAGUUAAAAAUGCCAGUCCGUGGCCGAAAGGUGCUCCUCGAACCACUUGGUGACAUGCAAUUUGAAUAUCUCGAUCGUCGUGGGUCGAGCUACAAGUACACUUCUCAACUUGUGGUCAUUAUCAAGAGAGAAUACCCGGGCUUGGUGCAGGACAAGAAUGAGCAUGGUGUAGUCCUUAGGACCCGUCCGGCACUAGAGUGGGCUGAUUACUUCCUAUCGAGAAAGGAUGAUUUGGGACAAACAGCAGGCGACCGUGUGCUUUCUGAAUUUUGGCGUUUAUUUGAGGUCAAUAUAGGAAAAGAGGAAGAAGCUGACCGUGUUCUUGACACCUAUCUAAAGAAAAGGGUGAAGGACAUGAUGUACCAGGCUCGAGUUGAUGCUGUCAAGGUGUACUACAUGAAGAAGUUGAACCAGAAAAUAGAUGACAAGCUGGCACGGCCAAUAGAGCUUAAUUAUGAAGAAUAUUUGGAUGGCAAACAGAAAUGGUGUAGUAAUGCUGUAUGGCCUAAGCUUUGUCGUUAUUGGUGCUCAGAAAAUUUCCUCAAAAAACGAAAGAGAGGCCAGGAAUCUCGCUUUUCUUCAGAUGAUAUUGCUCAAAAUCAAUCAUGGAGGAUCCAGACCAUUUGGGGAGACAAGGCAAAUUCUGGGUGAAAAUUUUGGCCCUGAGUUUACAUUAAAAAUAUGGAUGAAAAUGGCCGAACUGCUCCAAUGGUUAGCCGCAAAGCACAAAAGAUUGUGGAUGACUAUGCUGCAAAGUCUACAGAAAAUUCUGGACAGCAAGAGUUGGAUGGAAAAGUAUUGUAUAAAAUUUCUGGUGGAAUGCGCCAUGGACGUGUAGCCAUUGCAAAUGGUGCUGUUAAAAAGGCUGAUGUUCUGUCUGCUGCUAAGGAAAAAUCUGUUGCAUCAUCAAAUUCAGCAUCUUAUCGAAGCAUGGCUGAAGAAAAUCGACAAUUGCAGCAAGCAAAUAGGGGCUUACAUGAGCGUGUUGACCAGUUAGGCGAACUAACCAAUGACUUGAUAUUGAAUCUUUACAGUGAUUUAGGAAAGGAAGUUCCAGCAGGCCUAAAGAGUCGCCUUGCAGCAUUAACAGCAAAUGCAAGUAUGAUAGUGACUUGAUACUUGUACAUAUUAAUCCACAGUGAAUUAUUGUGAAGGAGGUCCAGCUGUUUUCUUACAGAUUGCUAUCCAAAUAUCUCCAUGGCUUAUCGGAUUCUCUUAACUAUUCCAGUGACAGUAGCAUAAGCCGGAAGAAGUUUAUCCAAAUUGAA